rnacentral:miRNA from 1 species
AUUGGAGAGGAUUGAGGGGGA